rnacentral:tRNA from 1 species
CGCGGCGUGGAGCAGUGGUCAGCUCGUCGGGUUCAUAUCCCGAAGGUCAGUGGUUCGAAUCCGCUCGCCGCAA